CCCUUCCCUGUGUUUUCUGUCUGUCCUCCCUGUCUGUGUCUGUCUGGGCGUGGCUACACUCCCUGGCUCCAGCAGCGCACCUGGCUCUCAUUCCACUAAUCAAGCUCCUGCAGUAUUUCAACCCCAGUCCUCCUCACAUUCUUCGCCAGAUCGUCAGUUAACCACAUGUGGAUCACACUACCUCCGGGAAACCUGCUGAACGCCACACCCCGCUCUGCUCCUAUCUUGCCUGGACUAACUCCCCUCCUCUGUGUUCUCCAUUCUGCCCUGUUGGAGCCAACCACCCAGUCCUCUGUUGCACCUUUCAAUAAAACCCCUUUGUUACCCCUUCGAA